rnacentral:misc_RNA from 1 species
AACGCACAUUGCGCUCCUCGGCAUUCCGUGGAGCAUGCCUGUUUGAUGCGCAUGAACAAAAUCGGCCACAGGUUGGCUAGGUUAUGAGCUUUCUCACUGUGUGAGUAGUUCAAAGUCACAAAACUUUGAGAGGUCGCGACUGCUGGCAACGGCCCAAUGGCUUAGUCCACCGGCGUCAAAUGAACCCAAGUCGACUGAUAGUAUAUCUAUUUCAGAAACCUUGGGACCAGCAUUUGAUGAUCAACCGAAGGACGGACAUCUGGGAACCGGACCUGCUCUCUGUGGAUCUUUGUUGUGUGGGAUCUUUCCCCUCAGAAAUUCUGCAUCAAAUCAGGUAGGGUUACCCGCUGAACUUAA